rnacentral:lncRNA from 1 species
AUAUUUAGUAUUAAGCUACUUGCAGUAGUCUUGUAGAGUAAUAUUUGCCUGUGUGUCAAAUUUUUCAUUGCAUUUGGCUCAUAAAAUCCUCAUGUCUCUUUAUGGCCACCAGAGCCAGAGGAGGUGGGAGAUCUAUUUCAACAGUUGGCUGUACCUGCAGAGACAGAAACCAAGAGGACAGAAGAGUUCGCUGGAGCUACAGCCAGCAGAUUUCCCAAGUUAUCUAGCACAGUGGCUGCAGAGGAUAACACUCAGUUAAUAGCUCCUAGAUUUACAGGUCCUAAAGUGAAUGAAGAUUCCUGUUUGGUGAUUCACAAUGCCAAAUUGCAACUAUCUCAGGGUAAGCAACUGUUUUUUGAAGCAUAUUCUGGUUGUUAUCAAAAUUAAUUUCUUUGCUUCUUGUCUUAGUCUGAAUUUGGUGAGAUCUUUCUUUAUUCAUCAUGUUGAUCAAAGUGUGAAGAAAGGGUGAGAGACAGAAAGAGAACAAUAGGAAGUCCAGUAUCAUCAUUUUUUAUGUAACCCAUUAUUAUGGUAAUAAACUUUAAUUCAUUCUUAAGGGCA